GCUUAGCCUUAAACCUAAGUUAUUAUUUAACAAAAUGACUCGCCAGGAAACUACUAGCAAAUGCUUAAAACUCAAAGGACUUGGCGGUGCCCUAAACCCAUCUAGAGGAGCCUGUUCUAUAAUCGAUAAACCCCGAUAUACCUCACCCUCUCUUGCCAAUACAGUCUAUAUACCGCCAUCGUCAGCUCACCCCACAGGGCAAAAAAGCAGGCAAAAUUAUUACCCAUAAAAACGUUAGGUCAAGGUGUAACAUAUGAGAAGGAAAGUAAUGGGCUACAUUCUCUACCCUAGAGUACUACGAAUCAUCUUAUGAAACAAAGAUGCUUGAAGGAGGAUUUAGUAGUAAAUUAAGAAUAGAGUGCUUAAUUGAAAUAGGCAAUAGGGCGCGC
rnacentral:rRNA from 1 species